rnacentral:tRNA from 1 species
AAAUGAUUCUUAUCUCUUUUUGGAGAGAUGGCCGAGAGGAUUAAAGCGUCGGAUUGCUAAUCCGUCGU